UACGAAGGGGGCUAGCGUUGCUCGGAAUGACUGGGCGUAAAGGGCGCGUAGGCGGAUGGUACAGUCAGAUGUGAAAUUCCUGGGCUCAACCUGGGGGCUGCAUUUGAUACGUGCUGUCUUGAGUUCGGAAGAGGGUCGUGGAAUUCCCAGUGUAGCGGUGAAAUGCGCAGAUAUCGGGAAGAACACCCGUGGCGAAGGCGGCUCUCUGGGACGGUACUGACGCUGAGACGCGAAAGCGUGGGGAGCGAACAGG
rnacentral:rRNA from 1 species